AUGAACGCUGGCGGCGUGCCUAAUACAUGCAAGUCGAGCGAACAGACGAGGAGCUUGCUCCUCUGACGUUAGCGGCGGACGGGUGAGUAACACGUGGAUAACCUACCUAUAAGACUGGGAUAACUUCGGGAAACCGGAGCUAAUACCGGAUAAUAUAUUGAACCGCAUGGUUCAAUAGUGAAAGACGGUUUUGCUGUCACUUAUAGAUGGAUCCGCGCCGCAUUAGCUAGUUGGUAAGGUAACGGCUUACCAAGGCAACGAUGCGUAGCCGACCUGAGAGGGUGAUCGGCCACACUGGAACUGAGACACGGUCCAGACUCCUACGGGAGGCAGCAGUAGGGAAUCUUCCGCAAUGGGCGAAAGCCUGACGGAGCAACGCCGCGUGAGUGAUGAAGGUCUGCGGAUCGUAAAACUCUGUUAUUAGGGAAGAACAAAUGUGUAAGUAACUAUGCACGUCUUGACGGUACCUAAUCAGAAAGCCACGGCUAACUAC
rnacentral:rRNA from 1 species